GAUGAACGCUAGCGGCAGGCUUAAUACAUGCAAGUCGAGGGACAGCACAGGUAGCAAUACUGGGUGGUAACCGGCAAACGGGUGCGGAACACGUACACAACCUUCCUUUAAGUGGGGGAUAGCCCAGAGAAAUUUGGAUUAAUACCCCGUAAUAUAGUUGAAUGGCAUCAUUUGAUUAUUAUAGCUACGGCGCUUAAUGAUGGGUGUGCGGCUGAUUAGAUAGUUGGCGGGGUAACGGCCCACCAAGUCUACGAUCAGUAGCUGAUGUGAGAGCAUGAUCAGCCCCACGGGCACUGAGCCACGGGCCCGACUCCUACGGGAGGCGGCAGUAAAGAAUAUUAGUCAAUGGACGCAAGUCUUAACCAGCCAUGCCGCGUGAAGGAUUAAGGUCCUCUGGAUUGUAAACUUCUUUUAUUUAGGACGAAAAAGGGCCUUUCUAGGUCAACUGACGGUACCAGAUGAAUAAGCACCGGCUAACUCCGUGCCAGCCGCCGCCGUAACAC
rnacentral:rRNA from 1 species